rnacentral:rRNA from 1 species
UACGGAGGGUGCAAGCGUUAUCCGGAUUCACUGGGUUUAAAGGGUGCGUAGGAGGGCAGGUAAGUCAGUGGUGAAAUCUUUGGGCUUAACCCGAAAACUGCCAUUGAUACUAUCUGUCUUGAAUGCGGUGGAGGUGAGCGGAAUAUGUCAUGUAGCGGUGAAGUGCUUAGAUAUGACAUAGAACACCGAUUGCGAAGGCAGCUCGCUACACCUGCAUUGACUCUGAGGCACGAAAGCGUGGGGAGCAAACAGG